rnacentral:miRNA from 1 species
GAGUAAUUCAAACUUGUUAAA